AACCCUUCUCUGCCUCCACACAAACCCUGUUUAGGGUUUUAGAGAAAGAUGAGGGGAGCAGGAGCACCAGACUUCUUCUACAGAGAAGCUCAACGCCUUGGUUAUUUAGCUCGUUCUGCUUUCAAGGUAAAAUUCUACCGUUUCUAUUCAGUUUCUCAUACACUUUGUUUUCUUCUACUUAAUAAUUCAUCUUGUUGCCAAGAACAGCUUCUUCAGAUACAAAAGCAAUACAAGCUCAUAACCCUUGGUUCCUCUGUUCUUGACCUUGGUUGUGCUCCUGGUGCUUGGCUUCAGUCACAUUUCAGGUUUCUUGUCAGAGCUUGGGACCGUUAAAGAAUGGUGGGUCUGUUGUAGGUAUUGAUGUCAAGAGCAGAAGGUGAAGGUUCCUCCGCUUCAUUGUGAUGCCAGGGUUAAAACUGUUUGUGCUGAUGUAAUGAACCUCCCCAAACAUCAAGUUAGAGCGCUUUCUCCUCAGGUAUCAUUCCAAUUAUUUAUUUGUUUUAUUGUCAGGAAUCAUUUUUUGAGAUGAUGAAUGCUAUGAGUUUUUCUAUUUAGGUUUUACAUAUUAUCAUUGUGGGAUUGCAGUGAACCUGAUAACUCUCUUGCUAUUUAAUGGAUCCAUAUUCCACAAGGUCCCAGAUUGAAGUAUUUGCAAUUAUUUAAUCAGAUCAGUUUAAUCUGAACUAUAUGUAAUCUAUGUAAAUGGGAACUUAUUAAAUGAUAUGCUUUACAUUUGAUUUUUAAGGUCCUAAGCUUUUACAAGGUUAAGAUUUGAUAAUUUAGUAGUUUAUGCAGAACUUGUGUCCUAUGCAUCCUUAUGGAACUGUAUGUAAGAUAUUUAAAUGAAAUAAUGAAUGCCUCUCAUAUAGCAAGAAUACAUAUUUCAUUGAAAAUGUUAAGAAAAUUUGGGAUUGACUUGCUUUCUAAUGUCCGUGCCUUAGCUUAUUCAACCUAUAAAGUGAUCAGCUCCCUCUUUUCUGCAUGCUAUUUUUUUUUUCUUUACUGUUGCUCCAAUAUCCAACUUGGAACUGCAGCCAUAGGCAAAAAAUUUAGGGGGUUCUCAUAUGUUUGGUUUUUGUGCGUGUUCUGCAGCAGAAGGGGUUUUCUGUGAUACUCUCAGAUAUGUGUCCGCCGGUUUCUGGAAUCACAACUAAAGAUGCAGCUUUAUCUGCCGAGUUAGGGAUGCAAGCAGUUGAUCUGGCUAUUGGUAGGGCAGCCUUAGCUCAUUCUGAUGGUGAUACUAAAAGGGAUGGGCAGUCAGAUUCUGAUUGUGGUGCAGAUGAUAAUGGUUUAUUACAAGCAGGUGGCCACCUGGUAAUUAAGCUUCUAGAGAGUGAGGAUAUCCAAGGUGGGGAAUAACUUUUUAUGUUGAUAACAAUUGUUGGUGCCAUAACAAUGCAUUUCUUACUGCCGUUUUGCUUCUUGUUUUGUAGAAUUUAGCCGGAUUUGCAAACCACUCUUCAGAAAGGCAUCAUGGUUGAGGCCAAAGGCUACAAGAUCCUCAUCACGAGAGAUUUAUUUAAUUUGCCAAGGUCUUAAAUUGUAGUAACAUAGAUUUUGUUGAGGUGAUUGUUGACAACAAACUUAUUGAGAUUGCAAAUUUUGAAUGACGGGGAAGUCUAUGGGGUAUCAUUGUCUUCGAAAUGAAAUAUUUAUUUUAGAUUCAAAAGUUAUGUAAAAUAGUUAUGUAAAGGUGAAGAAAAACA
rnacentral:misc_RNA from 1 species